rnacentral:rRNA from 1 species
UACGAAGGGAGCUAGCGUUGUUCGGAAUUACUGGGCGUAAAGGGCGCGUAGGCGGCACAUUUAGUCAGGCGUGAAAUUCCUGGGCUUAACCUGGGGACUGCGCUUGAGACGGGUGUGCUAGAGGACGGAAGAGGCUCGCGGAAUUCCCAGUGGUAGAGGUGAAAUUCGUAGAUAUUGGGAAGAACACCGGUGGCGAAGGCGGCGAGCUGGUCCGGUA